rnacentral:rRNA from 1 species
UGCGUAGGCGGUUGUUUAAGUCUGUCGUGAAAUCCCCGGGCUCAACCUGGGAAUGGCGAUGGAUACUGGACAGCUAGAGUGUGUCAGAGGAUGGUGGAAUUUCCGGUGUAGCGGUGAAAUGCGUAGAGAUCGGAAGGAACAUCAGUGGCGAAGGCGGCCAUCUGGGACAACACUGACGCUGAAGCACGAAAGCGUGGGGAGCAAACA